GGGAGUAGAGCUAAAUAGCAGAGUGCAUGCUUAGUAUGCACAAGGUCCUGGGUUCAAUCCCCAGUACCUCCA
rnacentral:tRNA from 1 species